rnacentral:rRNA from 1 species
GCUUGACUGUAGCUUGUAAUUGGGUUCGGGCUUUUUUUGCGCAGCCUAGGUGGGAGGCAAUGAUGAUUUUUUUCCGGAAAAAUUUGAGCCAUUCGUGAGAGACCACUCUGAAAAGGCUAGAAUCCUAAUAAUGAUCCUUGAAUCAGGACAUUUGACAGUUGCAGGUGGGCAGUUUUACUGGGGCGGUAUUCUCCUAAAAAGUAACGGAGGGGUGCAAAGGUUCCCUCAGCUGGACGGAAAUCAGCUUAAGAGUGUAAAGGCAAAAGGGAGCUUGACUGCAAGACCUACAAGUCGAGCAGGGGCGAAAGCCGGCCUUAGUGAUCCGACGGUACCACGUGGAAGGGCCGUCGCUCAACGGAUAAAAGUUA